AUACUUACCCGGCAGGCGAGACACCAUGAUCAACAAGGAGCUUCUCCCAGGAUGAGGCUAUUCCAUUGCACUUCGGAUGCACUGAUGUCUGCGAUGUUCCCAGAUGCAGGAUACUUGACUGCAAAAGUAGUGGUAGUGGGGGCCAAUGCUUAUAGCGUUCAUUAG